AUACAAUCAUUUAUUACCGAUCAUUAUAAACAAAUAUGGCAGCUGCUUAAAAUGUGUUAUUGCGGGGUGCUCUGUUGUUUUUGUUAUUCAUUUGUUGAAAGAUUUGCUUGCAACAUUUUUAUAUAUACUUCUAACUUUAGAGAAAAUUAAUUUGAGUUCGACAUUUACAACCAACACUCGACAGAGUACAAAAAAGAAGAAACUCGACAGAGUAUAAAAGCUAGACAAUCAGAUAUUCAGAUUUAUUUGGUAAACCUAUUGAUGAACUUACUGGUGAACUUACUGGUGAACUUACUGGUGAACUUACUGAAAUUAUUAAGCCCGCUGAAACCAUGUGGUUUUUAAAUAAUAUGACAGAGGUUUCUCUAGUUUUUAAAA